rfam:Citrus clementina cultivar Clemenules unplaced genomic scaffold scaffold_9, whole genome shotgun sequence.
GGUUGCUACCACUAGCACUAAUGCACCGAAUCCCAUCAAAACUCCGCAGUCAAGCGUGCUCGGGCGAGCGCAAUACGAACAUGGGUGACCUCUUGGGAUGUCCUCGUGUUGCACCCC